GCAAGUCGAACGGUAGGGAGGUGCUUGCACCUCCUGAGAGUGGCGAACGGGUGAGUAACGCGUAGGUGAUCUACCUUUUAGUUGGGGAUAGCUCAUGGAAACAUGGGGUAAUACCGAAUGAUCUCUGCGAUUAUGUUUGUAGAGCAAAGGGGCGUUUGCCUCGCUGAAAGAUGAGCCUGCGUAUGAUUAGCUAGUUGGUAAGGUAAGAGCUUACCAAGGCGACGAUCAUUAGCCGGCCUGAGAGGGUGACC
rnacentral:rRNA from 1 species